rnacentral:rRNA from 1 species
GAUGAACGCUGGCGGCGUGCCUAACACAUGCAAGUCGAGCGAUUCUCUUCGGAGAAGAGCGGCGGACGGGUAAGUAACGCGUGGGUAACCUGCCCUGUACACACGGAUAACAUACCGAAAGGUAUGCUAAUACGAGAUAAUAUGCUUUUGUCGCAUGGCAGAAGUAUCAAAGCUCCGGCGGUACAGGAUGGACCCGCGUCUGAUUAGCUAGUUGGUAAGGUAACGGCUUACCAAGGCGACGAUCAGUAGCCGACCUGAGAGGGUGAUCGGCCACAUUGGAACUGGUACACGGUCCAACCUCCUACGGGAGGCAGCAGUGGGGAAUAUUGCACAAUGGGCGAAAGCCUGAUGCAGCAACGCCGCGUGAGCGAUGAAGGCCUUCGGGUCGUAAAGCUCUGUCCUCAAGGAAGAUAAUGACGGUACUUGAGGAGGAAGCCCCGGCUAACUACGUGCCAGCCGCCGCCGUAAUAC